rnacentral:lncRNA from 1 species
CUCCUCUUUUUCUCUUGAAAAUUUAUUUACACCCUAUAAGUUUUAUCCCUUCGGGUGGAUCAACUUGUGUCCAUACAUCAUUGAUCUCCAUGGGCUUCAUUUCGGAUUUCAUGAUCUCAAGCCAUUUUUGAGAGUCGGACCUUUGCAUGGCUUCCAUAUAGGUGAUCAGAUCCUCAUCAUUCUCAUCAAGUUCAAUGGGAUCAUCGUUCUAGAUCAAGAAACUAUAGUAUCUAUCCAACUAAUGUGGUACUCUAUCG